rnacentral:rRNA from 1 species
UACGAACUGUGCGAACGUUAUUCGGAAUCACUGGGCUUACAGGGUGCGUAGGCGGCUACUCAAGUCAGGUGUGAAAGCCCCCGGCUCAACCGGGGAACUGCGCUUGAAACUGGGUGGCUCGAGUCAGCUAGAGGUGCACGGAACUUCCAGUGGAGCGGCGAAAUGUGUUGAUAUUGGAAGGAACACCAGAGGCGUAAGCGGUGCACUGGGGCUGGUCUGACGCUGAGGCACGAAAGCCAGGGGAGCGAACGGG